GUCUGCUUCCCAACCAUCAGUUGACCCAAGGCGCAGGCCUCUGCAGCUCCAGCUUGAGUCACCCAACUGGCCCUGCCCAGGACUGAUCCAUCCUCAGGAAUGGUUCUGACGACAGAAGACUGUCCAGGAAGGCUGGCUCACCCCAGCUCUCCCGUACCUGCUCCUUAGCUCGUGUGUGUAUAUGACAGGGUGACUGGGGUGGGGUCUCUCACCAGCGGGCUGUGGGGGCCCUCGAGGCAGGUCCAGCUCUGGUGGGUGGCUGCUCCGCGUGAUGAUGACCGGCUCCUCCGUCACGUUGAUGCUGUUACACUGCAUGAGGUCCUGCAGCAGGUUGAAGAUGUCCUCUGCCCUCGAACACUUGAAUGCAAAGAUGCCUGGGGAAGCUCCAGUACAGGGUAACUGAAGUUUGUAUAAACAGGACGAGAAAGACGGCACGAUAUGUGAAAGCUGGACAAGACCAGAAGGACAGAAGUGGUGAUACGUGGCUGUAAUCCCACACUUGGGAGGGAUGAGGUGCAUGCCAGGAAAGGCCCUUCAGCAAUCAACCCGGAACACGCAUUGCUUUGUGCUGUCUCGGGAGAGACAGCUCUGUCUGCGUGCAGCACAGUCCCAAGAAGGACUCCUCGUGCUGAGCAUGUGUGGACCUAAGAAGCAAGGCCAGACCUCAUGUCCCAACCUCAAGCUCAUGAGCAGCCUGCCAGCCCCUGAGCCCUGCCUGUAGAGGGCACAUGGGCAGGGGAUACAGUAUACUCCACUGCCCACAGGUGAAGGUGGACAAAGGUCAGGCUCUGGAAGGUUACGCUGUAUAUGAGAGACCCAAAAUCCUGCUGCCCAAGUCUCUGUGCAAGCUCCUCAGCCCUGAGUAGCCAUUCUCCUGCCUGACUUCUCUUCCACUGUGCACGGAGGCCAGUGUGUAGGGCCUGGCAGCUCAGGAGGGGUUUUCCUAUGCAAAGGCAAUAAAGACCUUGGAACCAUGGC
ensembl:antisense Frs3os fibroblast growth factor receptor substrate 3, opposite strand